rnacentral:rRNA from 1 species
CAGCAGCCGCGGGAAUACGGAGGAUCCGAGCGUUAUCCGGAAUUAUUGGGUUUAAAGGGUGCGUAGGCGGAUAGAUAAGUCAGUGGUGAAAGACGGUGGCUCAACCAUCGCAGUGCCGUUGAUACUGUUUAUCUUGAAUAUGGAUGAGGUAGGCGGAAUGUGGCAAGUAGCGGUGAAAUGCAUAGAUAUGCCACAGAACACCGAUUGCGAAGGCAGCUUACCAAGGCAAAAUUGACGCUGAGGCACGAAAGCGUGGGGAUCGAACAGGAUUAGAUACCCCCGUAGUCCCUGUCUCUUAUAC